CUGUCACCAGCUCCCUGCAACCGGACGCUGGCGGGUCCCGAGGGCUGGCUGGUGUCCCCAGAGCCAGCUGGUGUCCCCUAUGAUGGCAGCCUGGACUGCACCUACACCAUCUCUGUCUACCCUGGCUAUGGUGUGGAGCUCAAGGUAGAGAACAUCAGCCUGGCAGAAGGGGAGACGCUAACGGUGGAGAGCGCGGGAGGGCUGGAGCCCAACCUGCUGGCCAAUGAGUCCUUCCUGCUGCGGGGCCAGGUCAUCCGCAGCCCAGCCAACCUCCUCACCCUCCGCUUCCAGAGCCCCCGGCCCCCCAGCCCCGGCUCCUACCACUUCCAUUACCAAGCCUACCUGCUGAGCUGCCCCUUCCCNGCCGGGGC